rnacentral:rRNA from 1 species
UACGGGGGGUGCGAGCGUUGUCCGGAAUCACUGGGCGUAAAGGGCGCGUAGGUGGCCUGAUAAGGGUGUGGUGAAAGUCCGGGGCUCAACCCCGGAUCGGCCGUGCCGACUGUUAGGCUAGAGUACUGUAGGGGCAGGCGGAAUUCCGGGUGUAGUGGUGGAAUGCGUAGAGAUCCGGAGGAAGACCAGUGGCGAAGGCGGUUGCCUGGGGCUUUGCUGACGCUGAUGCGCGAAAGCGUGGGGAGCGAUCCGG